UACGAAGGGGGCUAGCGUUGUUCGGAAUUACUGGGCGUAAAGCGCGCGUAGGCGGUUUUCCAAGUCGGGCGUGAAAGCCCCGGGCUCAACCCGGGAAAUGCGCUCGAAACUUGAAGACUGGAGGCCGGAAGAGGGUAGUGGAAUUCCCAGUGUAGAGGUGAAAUUCGUAGAUAUUGGGAAGAACACCAGUGGCGAAGGCGGCUACCAUGGUAC
rnacentral:rRNA from 1 species